GUUUCAUAUAUGAAUGUACACUUAAUAAUAGGUACAGGACAUAAAAAAGUUGCCUAUAACAUUAUAUCACCUGUCCUACAUGUGAACAAUGCAUAACACUAUAGUGAGUAUUCACAUUUUAAGUGAUAUACUUAUAAAUAUCAAAUUGAUCCCAUAAGGACCUAAGCAGAGAAACAUCUCCCCUUUCGAAAUUGUACAUUUCACUUAACAGAGAUAACCUAGAAAACAAAAUGUGAUUCUAACAUUGAUACUUCAAUAAAACACAGAAGGGAC